UGAAGGGCACAUGGUGGAUGCCUUGGCAUCAAGAGCCGAUGAAGGACGUAGGAGCCUGCGAUAAGCCCCGGGGAGUUGGCAACCGAGCUGUGAUCCGGGGGUGUCCGAAUGGGGAAACCCAGCUGGAGUCAUGUCCAGUUACCUGCCGCUGAAUAUAUAGGCGGUGUGGAGGGAACGUCGGGAAGUGAAACAUCUCAGUACCGACAGGAAGAGAAAACAAUAGUGAUUCCGAGAGUAGUGGCGAGCGAAAUCGGAUCAGGCUAAACCUACUUCGUGUGAUACCCGGCAGGGGUUGCGGAGUGGGGGUUGUGGGAGCACAUGAUCGAGUCUGCCGGCUUGGUACGCAGUAAGAAACUCAUGGUGAAGCGAAAGCCCAUUGGAAAGUGGCGCCGUAGAGGGUGAUAGCCCCGUAUGUGUAAGCCGUGAGCUGUGUUGUGUUUUCCCAAGUAACACGGAACCCCUGAAAUUCCGUGUGAAUCUGGCGGGACCACCCGUUAAGCCUAAAUACUCCUUGAUGACCGAUAGCGGACAAGUACCGUGAGGGAAAGGUGAAAAGUACCCCUGGCGGGGAGUGAAAUAGUACCUGAAACCGUGUGCCUACAAUCCGUCGGAGCCUUACGGGGUGACGGCGUGCCUUUUGAAGAAUGAGCCUGCGAGUUUGCGUUGUGUUGCGAGGUUAACCCGUGUGGGGCAGCCGUAGCGAAAGCGAGUCCGAAUAGGGCGUUUUAGUAGCACGAUCAAGACCCGAAGCGAAGUGAUCUAUCCAUGGGCAGGUUGAAGCGCGGGUAAGACCGCGUGGAGGACCGAACCCACUUAGGUUGAAAACUGAGGGGAUGACCUGUGGAUAGGGGUGAAAGGCCAAUCAAACUUCGUGAUAGCUGGUUCUCCCCGAAAUGCAUUUAGGUGCAGCGUUGUGUGUUUCUUGCCGGAGGUAGAGCACUGGAUAGCCGAUGGGCCCUACAAGGUUACUGACGUUAGCCAAACUCCGAAUGCCGGUAAGUGAGAGCGCAGCAGUGAGACUGCGGGGGAUAAGCUCCGUAGUCGAGAGGGAAACAGCCCAGACCAUCAGCUAAGGCCCCUAAGCGGUGACUAAGUGGAAAAGGAUGUGGAGUCGCAGUGACAACCAGGAGGUUGGCUUGGAAGCAGCCACCCUUGAAAGAGUGCGUAAUAGCUCACUGGUCAAGUGAUUCCGCGCCGACAAUGUAGCGGGGCUCAAGUCAUCCGCCGAAGCUAUGGCAUUCACACAUGAGCCCUAACGGGUGUGUGGAUGGGUAGGGGAGCGUCGUGUCGCGGGUGAAGCAGCGGGGUGACCCAGUUGUGGAUGCGACACGAGUGAGAAUGCAGGCAUGAGUAGCGAAUCAAGUGUGAGAAACACUUGCGCCGAAUGAUCAAGGGUUCCAGGGUCAAGCUAAUCUGCCCUGGGUAAGUCGGGACCUAAGGCGAGGCCGACAGGCGUAGUCGAUGGACAACGGGUUGAUAUUCCCGUACCGGCAAAGUAGCGCCCAUGACGAGGCUGGUGAUGCUAACCGCCCGAAGCUGCACAUGACCGAUCCCUUCGGGGUGAGGCGGUGUAGUGGAGCGCGGGACCCGAGCUGGUAGUAGUCAAGCGAUGGGGUGACGCAGGAAGGUAGUCGGACCGUACCGAUGGUUGAGUACGGCUAAGCGUGUAGGGAGUGGCCUAGGCAAAUCCGGGUCGCUGUGCUUCGAGCACGAUCUUGAGACGUGAUGGGGACCCCAUAUGGGGGAAGCCGAUGAUCCUAUGCUGUCGAGAAAAACCUCUAGCGAGCUAUGCGCCGCCCGUACCCCAAACCGACUCAGGUGAUCAGGUAGAGAAUACUAAGGCGAUCGAGUGAACCAUGGUUAAGGAACUCGGCAAAAUGCCCCCGUAACUUCGGGAGAAGGGGGGCCGGAUCCGUGAACCACUUUGCGUGGGGAAGCGGUGAUGGCCGCAGAGACCAGGCCCAAGCGACUGUUUACUAAAAACACAGGUCCGUGCGAAGUUGUAAGACGAUGUAUACGGACUGACUCCUGCCCGGUGCUGGAAGGUUAAGGGGACGGGUUAGCUCACCUUUGGUGGGUGAAGCUCAGAACUUAAGCCCCAGUAAACGGCGGUGGUAACUAUAACCAUCCUAAGGUAGCGAAAUUCCUUGUCGGGUAAGUUCCGACCUGCACGAAUGGAGUAACGACUUGGGCGCUGUCUCAACCAUGGACUCGGCGAAAUUGCAGUACGAGUAAAGAUGCUCGUUACGCGCGGCAGGACGGAAAGACCCCGGGACCUUUACUAUAGUUUGGUAUUGGUGUUUGGUUCGGCUUGUGUAGGAUAGGUGGGAGACUGUGAAGCAUUCACGCCAGUGAGUGUGGAGUCAUCGUUGAAAUACCACUCUGGUCGUACUAGAUGUCUAACCUAGGUCCGUAAUCCGGAUCAGGGACAGUGCCUGAUGGGUAGUUUAACUGGGGCGGUUGCCUCCUAAAAUGUAACGGAGGCGCUCAAAGGUUCCCUCAGCCUGGUUGGCAAUCAGGUGUUGAGUGUAAGUGCACAAGGGAGCUUGACUGUGAGACAGACAUGUCGAGCAGGGACGAAAGUCGGAACUAGUGAUCCGGCCACGGCAUGUGGAAGCGUGGUCGCUCAACGGAUAAAAGGUACCCCGGGGAUAACAGGCUGAUCUUCCCCAAGAGUCCAUAUCGACGGGAUGGUUUGGCACCUCGAUGUCGGCUCGUCGCAUCCUGGGGCUGGAGUAGGUCCCAAGGGUUGGGCUGUUCGCCCAUUAAAGCGGCACGCGAGCUGGGUUUAGAACGUCGUGAGACAGUUCGGUCCCUAUCCGCCGCGCGCGUAGGAAACUUGAGAAAGGCUGUCCCUAGUACGAGAGGACCGGGAUGGACGAACCUCUGGUGUGCCAGUUGUUCUGCCAAGAGCACGGCUGGUUGGCUACGUUCGGAAGUGAUAACCGCUGAAUGCAUCUAAGCGGGAAGCACGUUUCAAGAUGAGGUUUCCCACCCACUUGAUGGGGUAAGGCCCCCAGUAGAACACUGGGUUGAUAGGCCGGAGGUGUACAGCAGUAAUGCCUAGCCGACCGGUACUAAUAGGCCGAGGGCUUGUCUU
rnacentral:rRNA from 1 species